rnacentral:rRNA from 1 species
AGUAAUACAAGGCAGACGGCCUCAGUAACACGUAGUCAACCUACCCUAUGGACAAGAAUAAUCUCGGGAAACUGGGCAUAAUUCUUGAUAGAUCAUAAUGCCUGGAAUGGUUUAUGGUUAAAAUGAUUCGUCGCCAUAGGAUGGGACUGCGGCCUAUCAGCUUGUUGGUGAGGUAAUGGCCCACCAAGGCGAUUACAGGUACGGGCUCUGAGAGGAGAAGCCCGGAGAUGGGUACUGUGACACKGACCCWGGCCYUAUGGGGCGCAGC